CACCAUGACGCUGAUGCCUGUCUCCACGAAGGGGACGGAGAAGUCCACGAUCUCGGACCGCUCCUCGUUUAUGACGCCGUCGAUCUUCUUCCCGUGUUUGCCGUUAGUGACCAGGUAGAGGUCAUAGCUGAAGCCGAUGGUCUGCGCCAGCCGCUUCAGAAUGUCGAUGCAGAAGCCCUUGCAGCACCGCUUUUCUGGGCGGGGGGCGUCCGGCGGAGGGCUGCGGGGGAACGAGCAAGCUUGGGAACGUUGGGGAUCCCCUCGCCUUAUGGAGGGAGGAACAAGCAGCGGCUAAAACUAAGGACCCUGCGUUCUUUAAAGAGACAUCCAUGGUCUUUUUCAUCUGUGUUCUCAGCGCCCAGCAUGAGCCCUAGUUCCUAGCAGGCUGAAUUCAGUGAAUGUGUGCUGAGGAGACCACGUUCCCAGCAUUCAAUGGGGGCACAGAUGUAGCUGUGAGGACCACCCUACUUCAUCUUCAGACUACAUUUCCCAGAAGGGAAUGCGUGUACACCCAGCGGGCCACAAUGACUACUGAGACAAUAAACUGAGCAGACCACAGUCUUCAGCAAUGGAGGCA